CACGUAGGGGCCAAGCGUUGUCCGGAAUUAUUGGGCGUAAAGAGCUCGUAGGCGGUUUGUCGCGUCUGCUGUGAAAGACCGGGGCUCAACUCCGGUUCUGCAGUGGGUACGGGCAGACUAGAGUGAUGUAGGGGAGACUGGAAUUCCUGGUGUAGCGGUGAAAUGCGCAGAUAUCAGGAGGAACACCGAUGGCGAAGGCAGGUCUCUGGGCAUUAACUGACGCUGAGGAGCGAAAGCAUGGGGAGCGAACAGG
rnacentral:rRNA from 1 species